rnacentral:rRNA from 1 species
GAUGAACGCUAGCGGCAGGCUUAACACAUGCAAGUCGAGGGGUAUUGGUUUUCGGACCAAGAGACCGGCGCACGGGUGCGUAACGCGUAUGCAAUCUACCUUUUGCAGAGGGAUAGCCCCAGAGAAAUUUGGAUUAAUACCUCAUAGUAUAGUACUUUGGCAUCAAGGAACUAUUAAAGUCACAACGGCAAAAGAUGAGCAUGCGUCCAUUAGCUAGUUGGUAAGGUAACGGCUUACCAAGGCUACGAUGGGUAGGGGUCCUGAGAGGGAGAUCCCCACACUGGUACUGAGACACGGACCAGACUCCUACGGGAGGCAGCAGUGAGGAAUAUUGGACAAUGGGCGCAAGCCUGAUCCAGCCAUGCCGCGUGCAGGAUGACGGUCCUAUGGAUUGUAAACUGCUUUAUACAGAAGAANACUCCGACGUGUCGGAGCUUGACGGUACUGUAAGAAUAAGGAUCGGCUAAC